rnacentral:rRNA from 1 species
AAAUUGAAGAGUUUGAUCAUGGCUCAGAUUGAACGCUGGCGGCAGGCCUAACACAUGCAAGUCGAGCGGCAGCGGAAAGUAGCUUGCUACUUUGCCGGCGAGCGGCGGACGGGUGAGUAAUGUCUGGGAAACUGCCUGAUGGAGGGGGAUAACUACUGGAAACGGUAGCUAAUACCGCAUAACGUCGCAAGACCAAAGAGGGGGACCUUCGGGCCUCUUGCCAUCAGAUGUGCCCAGAUGGGAUUAGCUAGUAGGUGGGGUAACGGCUCACCUAGGCGACGAUCCCUAGCUGGUCUGAGAGGAUGACCAGCCACACUGGAACUGAGACACGGUCCAGACUCCUACGGGAGGCAGCAGUGGGGAAUAUUGCACAAUGGGCGCAAGCCUGAUGCAGCCAUGCCGCGUGUAUGAAGAAGGCCUUCGGGUUGUAAAGUACUUUCAGCGGGGAGGAAGGCGUUGAGGUUAAUAACCUCAGCGAUUGACGUUACCCGCAGAAGAAGCACCGGCUAACUCCGUGCCAGCAGCCGCGGUAAUACGGAGGGUGCAAGCGUUAAUCGGAAUUACUGGGCGUAAAGCGCACGCAGGCGGUCUGUCAAGUCGGAUGUGAAAUCCCCGGGCUCAACCUGGGAACUGCAUUCGAAACUGGCAGGCUAGAGUCUUGUAGAGGGGGGUAGAAUUCCAGGUGUAGCGGUGAAAUGCGUAGAGAUCUGGAGGAAUACCGGUGGCGAAGGCGGCCCCCUGGACAAAGACUGACGCUCAGGUGCGAAAGCGUGGGGAGCAAACAGGAUUAGAUACCCUGGUAGUCCACGCCGUAAACGAUGUCGACUUGGAGGUUGUGCCCUUGAGGCGUGGCUUCCGGAGCUAACGCGUUAAGUCGACCGCCUGGGGAGUACGGCCGCAAGGUUAAAACUCAAAUGAAUUGACGGGGGCCCGCACAAGCGGUGGAGCAUGUGGUUUAAUUCGAUGCAACGCGAAGAACCUUACCUACUCUUGACAUCCAGAGAACUUUCCAGAGAUGGAUUGGUGCCUUCGGGAACUCUGAGACAGGUGCUGCAUGGCUGUCGUCAGCUCGUGUUGUGAAAUGUUGGGUUAAGUCCCGCAACGAGCGCAACCCUUAUCCUUUGUUGCCAGCGGUUA